rnacentral:misc_RNA from 1 species
CAACAAGUCCAAUCCCUUGUACAAUCAACAGUGGAAAUUUACGGUCGAGUCGAUAUAAUGUUCAGCAACGCCGGAAUUGGCAGCCACGACGAGCACGCACAAGAUAUCCUAGGGUUCAAUCUGGAUGCUUUAGAUAGCCUAUUUGCGGUCAACGUUCGUGGGUCAGUCGCUUGCGUGAAACACGCGGCAAAGGCUAUGGUGGAAGGUGGGGUCAGAGGGAAGAUAAUAUGCACGGCGAGCUCGACGGCGACGAUGGGGGUAACGAGGCAAAUUGACUACGCAAUGUCGAAACACGCAGUACUGGGAUUGGUGAAGUCUGCAAGUAAAGGACUGGGUGCGUAUGGUAUCCGAGUGAACUGUGUUUCUCCAGCAGCAGUGGCAACGCCAUUGUUAGAGAAAACGAUGAAAAUGGGUGUAGAGGAG